CCAACAUUCGGCUUCGUCUCUACGUCUCUGGCCCGUUUCUCUCCAUUGAUUUAAUAAGCAGGUGUGAAUCAGGAACAAUUUUACUUGCUGUGAUCGGAUUUCUAGAGGAUCAAUAUGGUUGUACUUGCUGCUUCUAUUAUCAGUAAAUCUGGCAAAGCACUCGUUUCGAGGCAAUUUGUUGAUAUGUCUCGUAUACGUAUUGAGGGAUAUCUUGCAGCUUUCCCAAAAUUGGUUGGAACAGGAAAACAGCAUACCUACAUUGAAACCGAAAAUGUGCGGUAUGUUUAUCAGCCAAUGGAGUCGCUUUACUUGCUUCUUGUGACAAAUAAACAGAGCAAUAUUCUUGAAGAUUUGGAGACAUUGAGACUGCUCUCAAAACUUGUACCUGAGUAUUCUUACUCCCUGGAUGAAGAGGGCAUUGGCAGGACAGCUUUUGAAAUUCUCUUUGCAUUUGAUGAAGUCAUCUCUCUUGGGCACAAAGAAAGUGUUACUGGUGCACAAGUCAAACAGUACUGUGAGAUGGAAAGUCAUGAAGAGAGAUUGCACAAGUUGGUCUUGCAAAGCAAAAUCAAUGAAACCAAGGAUGUUAUGAAGCGCAAAGCUAGUGAGAUUGACAAAAGCAAAAUUGAGAAGAACAGAGGUGAGAAAGGAGGGUACAUGUCUCUACAGUCCAUGGGUUCAGGAAGAAUUGACUCUGGCUUUGGUAAUGACAAUAGCAUUAGCAUAUCGAGUAGUGGUGGUUUUGGAGGUGGUUCUGGCUUUGGGUUAAGCGCUGAUGUGGAUUCCUUCUCCACCAAGUCCAAAGGUCGUCCACCAGCAUCUGCUACAGCUCCACCUAAAGGUCUUGGUAUGCAGCUAGGAAAAACACAAAGGACCAACCAAUUUUUGGAAUCUCUGAAAGCUGAAGGUGAAGUGAUUGUUGAAGAUGUUAGACCAAGCGUUGGCCAGUCGAAACCAACAGCUCCACCACCAACUGAUCCUGUUACGUUGACUGUUGAAGAAAAGCUUAAUGUAACUUUGAAACGGGAUGGUGGUAUAGGAAGCUUUGAUGUUCAGGGUACCUUGGCACUCCAAAUUCUUAAUCAGGAUGAUGGACUCAUCCAAGUUCAGAUUGAAACUGGUGAUAAUCCAGGAAUCCUUUUCAAGACACACCCCAAUAUCAACAAGGAAUUGUUUUCCAAUGAAAAUAUUGUGGGGCUCAAGGAUCAGAAUCGACCAUUUCCCACUGGGCAAGCUGGUGACGGUGUUAGUCUCUUGAGAUGGAGAAUGCAAAGUGCAGAUGAAUCACUUGUACCGUUAUCAAUUAACUGCUGGCCUUCUGUUUCUGGAAAUGAAACCUACGUGAGCAUGGAGUAUGAAGCUUCACAAAUGUUUGAUCUGCAGAAUGUUGUGAUUGCUGUACCUCUUCCAGCACUUCGAGAAGCACCAAAUGUACAGCAGAUAGAUGGGGAAUGGAGGUCAGCUAUGUAAUUCCAGUUUUACCUUAGACGGCAAAUAUAGUUUGCUUACAUGGUUUUGAUUGGAUAUUUGGAAAUUGGCAGCGGAUCUAUGGAAUUUGUUGUCCCUCCUGUAGAUACAUCAGCAUUUUUCCCAAUUUCUGUCCGAUUUACGGCUACAAGCACUUUCAGUGAUCUGAAGGUUUUGAACAUUAUACCAUUGAGAGGUGGAACUCCACCCAAGUUUUCUCAGAGAACAGUGCUGUCGACGGAGAAUUACCAAGUCGUUUGAUAAUUGUCACUACAAUAAUGAUUUCUGAAUGAGAAUAACCACCAACUCUGCACUUUUAUUCUUUUGUUUCAAAUUUUGUCGACAGUGAUGUUACUUUGUAGUUAUUAUUUACUGUAGAUUGAACCGUAAUAUUUUCUUGCGAUGAAGUGUACGUCACACAUUAUAAAAGACGAAUGGGUAUUUUUUGUCUUAUGGUUUCAGGUCAA